rnacentral:rRNA from 1 species
UGGGGAAUUUUGGACAAUGGGCGAAAGCCUGAUCCAGCAAUGCCGCGUGUGUGAAGAAGGCCUUCGGGUUGUAAAGCACUUUUGUCCGGAAAGAAAUCCUUGGCUCUAAUACAGUCGGGGGAUGACGGUACCGGAAGAAUAAGCACCGGCUAACUACGUGCCAGCAGCCGCGGUAAUACGUAGGGUGCAAGCGUUAAUCGGAAUUACUGGGCGUAAAGCGUGCGCAGGCGGUUUGCUAAGACCGAUGUGAAAUCCCCGGGCUCAACCUGGGAACUGCAUUGGUGACUGGCAGGCUAGAGUAUGGCAGAGGGGAGUAGAAUUCCACGUGUAGCAGUGAAAUGCGUAGAGAUGUGGAGGAAUACCGAUGGCGAAGGCAGCCCCCUGGGCCAAUACUGACGCUCAUGCACGAAAGCGUGGGGAGCAAACAGGAUUAGAUACCCUGGUAGUCCACGCCCUAAACGAUGUCAACUAGUUGUUGGGGGACUUCAUUUCCUUAGUAACGUAGCUAACGCGUGAAGUUGACCGCCUGGGGGAGUACGGUCGC